CUUUCACUGGCACCCAGGACAAGUGCAAUGCAUGCAACGAGACGGUCCAUUUCAUCGAUCUCUUGACAGCUGAUGGAGUCUCUUAUCACAAGACUUGCUUCAAGUGCAGCCACUGCAAAGGAACUCUUUCUGUGCAUCUCUCACAUCCACCGUGAACAAAAGAUGCCUGUUGGUCUGCAAUCAUGUAGUUCCCUGAUUGCUAGCAAAAAGAACUAUUCAUGUCAUUAAUUCAAGAAACAUAUAUUGCAUCACUAAAUGGAUGUGCAGCUACUCUUUCAUGGAUGGCAUCCUCUACUGCAAGCCUCAUUUUGAGCAGCUGUUCAAGGAGACAGGCAGCUUCACCAAAAAAGUUCCCAGCAGGUGCAAAGUCUAGUGAGAGGAAUGAAUUGUUAUGUAUGCCGAGCAUCUACUACCUUCAGCUAAGUGGGAAAGUUCGAUCCUUGGACUAAGACAUAGCUGAUAACUAAUGGCCAUGUCUUUGCAGUCUAGGACUCCAAACAAGAUCUCCUCCAUGUUCUCUGAAACCCAGGACAACUGUGCCAGCUGCAAGAAAACAGCGUACCCCUUGGAGAAGGUUUGAACGGUACACAGUGCAAUGAUGAGCUUCAAAG